rnacentral:rRNA from 1 species
UACGGAGGAGGCAAGCGUUAUCCGGAAUUAUUGGGCGUAAAGCGUCCGCAGGUGGCGAUUCAAGUCUGCGGUCAAAGACUGGGGCUUAACCCUGGAAAGGCCGUAGAAACUGAAUAGCUAGAGUGCAGUAGGGGUAGAGGGAAUUCCCGGUGUAGCGGUGAAAUGCGUAGAGCUCGGGAAGAACAUCGGUGGCGAAAGCGCUCUGCUGGACUGCAACUGACACUCAGGGACGAAAGCUAGGGGAGCGAAUGGG